rnacentral:rRNA from 1 species
GGAAUUGCUAGUAAUGGCAGGUCAGCAUACUGCCGUGAAUACGUUCCCGGGCCUUGUACACACCGCCCGUCACACCGUGAGAGUUGGGAAUACCCGAAGCCUGUGAGCUAACUUUUAGAGGCAGCAGUCGAAGGUAGAAUCAAUGAUUGGGGUGAAGUCGUAACAAGGUACC